AUUGAACGCUGGCGGCAUGCCUUACACAUGCAAGUCGAACGGCAGCACGGGAGCAAUCCUGGUGGCGAGUGGCGAACGGGUGAGUAAAGUAUCGGAACGUGCCCAGUCGUGGGGGAUAACGUAGCGAAAGCUACGCUAAUACCGCAUAUGAUCUAUGGAUGAAAGCGGGGGAUCGCAAGACCUCGCGCGAUUGGAGCGGCCGAUAUCAGAUUAGGUAGUUGGUGAGGUAAAGGCUCACCAAGCCGACGAUCUGUAGCUGGUCUGAGAGGACGACCAGCCACACUGGGACUGAGACACGGCCCAGACUCCUACGGGAGGCAGCAGUGGGGAAUUUUGGACAAUGGGCGCAAGCCUGAUCCAGCAAUGCCGCGUGCAGGAUGAAGGCCUUCGGGUUGUAAACUGCUUUUGUACGGAGCGAAAAGGCUCUCUCUAAUACAGGGGGCUCAUGACGGUACCGUAAGAAUAAGCACCGGCUAACUACGUGCCAGCCGCCGCCGUAAAAC
rnacentral:rRNA from 1 species